CAGUCGCCGCGGUAAUACGUAGGGUGCAAGCGUUAAUCGGAAUUACUGGGCGUAAAGCGUGCGCAGGCGGCUAUGCAAGACAGAUGUGAAAUCCCCGGGCUCAACCCCGGAACUGCCUUUGAAACUAGGUGACUAGAAUCUUGGAGAGGUCAGUGGAAUUCCGAGUGUAGAGGUGAAAUGCGUAGAGACCGGGAGGAACAUCAGUGGCGAAGGCGGCCAUCUGGGACAACACUGACGCUGAGGCACGAAAGCGUGGGGAGCAAACAGGAUUAGAUACCCCGGUAGUCCCUGUCUCUUAUAC
rnacentral:rRNA from 1 species